rnacentral:tRNA from 1 species
CAGUGAAAAGCCAAAUUUAGAGGCAUUUAACUGUUAAUUAAAUAAUUGAAUUUUUAUUCUUCACUGGCCA